GCAGGGGUGGCUCAGUGGUAGAACUCUUGCCUUCCAUGCAGGGGACCUGGGUUUGAAUCCCAGCCAAUGCA